rnacentral:rRNA from 1 species
CGGAUUGACAAUGGGCGGAGCCUGAUGCAGCGACGCCGCGUGGGGGAUGACGGCCUUCGGGUUGUAAACUCCUUUCACCAUCGACGAAGGUUUUCUGACGGUAGAUGGAGAAGAAGCACCGGCUAACUACGUGCCAGCAGCCGCGGUAAUACGUAGGGUGCGAGCGUUGUCCGGAAUUACUGGGCGUAAAGAGCUCGUAGGUGGUUUGUCGCGUCGUCUGUGAAAUUCCGGGGCUUAACUCCGGGCGUGCAGGCGAUACGGGCAUAACUUGAGUACUGUAGGGGAGACUGGAAUUCCUGGUGUAGCGGUGAAAUGCGCAGAUAUCAGGAGGAACACCGGUGGCGAAGGCGGGUCUCUGGGCAGUAACUGACGCUGAGGAGCGAAAGCAUGGGUAGCGAACAGGAUUAGAU